UUUCAUAAACAAAGGCUAAGCUCUCAAUAUCUCUCUCUACUUUUCAUCGUUUAGCUCUUCUUCUUCUUCUUCUUCUUCUCCAACCUUCUCCUCUGUACUUCAAAAAUCAAACUCACCCUUUUCUCUCUUCUCCUUUCAUAGAUCUCCAACUUUCCAUAUCCACUUCCCCUUCUCUCCGAUUUUCCCACAUUCUCUCUUCUCAAUUUGAAUUUUCCCAUUCCAAUGACCCUAAAUGCUUCCUAACUCUCCUUCUCCGGCGACCUCUUUCGCCCUUCAUGGACCACCCUCUGUACCAUGCCUGACCUCCCUCGCAAUCCACUCACGACUCGGUCAUUCCAACUUCCGCUUCCGAUUGCCCACAAAACACCCAUUAAGUUAACUCUAACAACACGCCACCCAUCCCAACCCGCUAAAGGGAGUGGUGGGAAGAGUAUUGAGGAGGGGAAAGACGCGAUCGGUGCCGAUGGUGAUAGGGAUUUUGUGAACCCUGGAAUCGGUUUUGAAACAAAGGUACUACCUGAGAGUAAAGACGAAGUUGGGAAGGAGGAAGAGGUAGGGAUAGUUGGUGUUGGAGGUAUGGAUGAGUUUGAUAGCGGUGGAAAGAACGGUGAUAAGGGUCCUGUAGCUGAAGAUGAAGGCACGACUACUCCUCUUCCUGAGAAGGUUCAGGUUGGUGGUUCUCCAUUGUAUAAAGUUGAAAGAAAACUGGGAAAAGGAGGUUUUGGUCAGGUGUAUGUGGGUCGACGAUUGGGUCCCAUGAGUUUGAAUGAAAGAUCUGGCCCUGGAGCUGUGGAGGUAGCCUUAAAAUUUGAGCAUAGAAGUAGUAAAGGGUGCAACUAUGGACCUCCUUACGAGUGGCAGGUUUACAAUGCAUUAGGUGGCAGUCAUGGUGUGCCACGAGUUCACUACAAGGGUCGGCAAGGUGACUAUUAUGUCAUGGUUAUGGACAUGCUUGGACCUAGUCUCUGGGAUGUCUGGAAUAACAAUGCUCACACGAUGUCAAUUGAAAUGGUAGCAUGUAUCGCCAUUGAGGCAAUCUCCAUAUUAGAGAAGAUGCAUUCUAGAGGGUACGUGCAUGGUGAUGUGAAGCCUGAAAAUUUUCUACUUGGUCCUCCAGGAACCCCAGAAGAGAAAAAAUUGUUUCUUGUAGAUCUUGGUUUAGCAACCAAGUGGCGAGAUAGUUCGACUGGACAACAUGUUGAGUAUGAUCAACGACCAGACGUUUUCCGGGGAACAGUUCGGUAUGCUAGUGUGCAUGCACAUCUUGGCAGAACUGCUAGUCGGAGAGAUGACUUGGAAUCGCUUGCUUACACUCUUGUUUUUCUUCUCCGUGGUCGGCUGCCUUGGCAAGGAUAUCAGGGAGAAAAUAAAGGAUUCCUUGUGUCAAAGAAAAAGAUGGCUACUUCCUCUGAAACAUUGUGCUGUUUUUGCCCUCAGCCUUUUAGACAGUUUGUUGAGUACGUCGUCAACUUGAAAUUUGAUGAAGAGCCAAACUAUGCAAGAUAUAUCUCCCUCUUUGAUGGGAUUGUCGGUCCAAAUCCAGAUAUCCGUCCAAUAAACACAGAUGGUGCACAGAAACUUAUAUUUCAGGUUGGGCAUAAGAGAGGAAGGCUAUCCAUGGAGGAUGAAGAUGAUGAACAACCAAAGAAGAAGGUUCGGAUGGGGAUGCCUGCAACCCAAUGGAUUAGUGUUUAUAAUGCCCGUAGACCAAUGAAACAAAGAUACCACUAUAACGUUGCUGAUAUGAGGCUCUCUCAGCAUAUUGAGAAGGGGAAUGAAGAUGGUUUAUUUAUUAGUUGCGUUGCUUCAUGUUCAAACCUUUGGGCCCUUAUUAUGGAUGCUGGAACUGGCUUUUCUGCCCAAGUUUAUGAACUCUCACCCUACUUUCUUCACAAGGAGUGGAUCAUGGAACAGUGGGAGAAAAACUAUUACAUCAGUGCAAUAGCAGGGGCUAAUAAUGGAAGCUCAUUGGUAGUGAUGUCCAAAGGGACACAGUACCUCCAGCAAUCCUAUAAAGUCAGUGAUUCAUUUCCCUUCAAGUGGAUAAAUAAGAAGUGGAGGGAGGGAUUUUACGUUACAGCCAUGGCCACUGCUGGUGGUAGAUGGGCAAUUGUCAUGUCACGUGGUGCAGGAUUUUCUGACCAGGUUGUGGAACUAGAUUUCCUAUAUCCCAGUGAAGGCAUUCAUCGCAGGUGGGAUAAUGGUUACCGCAUCACAUCAACUGCAGCAACUUUGGACCAGGCUGCUUUUGUUCUGAGUGUGCCAAGGAGAAAGCCUGCUGAUGAAACUCAAGAAACACUCCGUACAUCUGCCUUUCCUAGUACACAUGUGAAGGAGAAAUGGGCAAAGAAUCUUUAUAUUGCAUCUAUUUGCUAUGGCCGAACUGUUUCAUGAAACACUCCUAAGUUGAUGCCACUUAGAGCCUGGAAUUUUUAACAGAUGGUGCUCUUCUUUAGGCGGAUAUGGAUUUUUAUGGCAAACACUUGACUGUGGCUAAUGGAGUUGAUGUAGCUAAACUAUUCAUUAACAUCACCAACGUGUUGCAUCAGUUACAGACGCCUAUGCUCUGGCUUUCAUUCAUGUUAUUCAAUAGAUCACAAGAUUUCUCAAACCAGAGACCCUGUAGCUGAAUAUAGUCAAGGGACAAAUUGCAUCUACAUUUGGCUGUACAGAGGCUGAAUGUGGAAAUUUGCUAAUGGACUUGUUGGUUGCAGCAAAUUAUGCCAGAUUCAGCCAUCAGCUAGUUGGCCAAUUAGAUCUUGCCAAUUUGGUAAUGCCAGUCCACUAUUACCAUUCUCUUCUUGUCUUUGACCUAGAUUUUGGAAUCGGAAAGUUGUGGGGCUCCCAUCAUCUAUCAAGAAUGAAGAUGGCUGCCAUCUGAUUUCCAAGUGCCAUCAAACUACUUCAUGCAGUUCUUCCAGUGAUUCUACCAUCGUGUUGCAUUUUUCUUUGAGCAAGUACAUCGGUGUAGUGUGGUGUCUGAAUUUUAAAUUAGCACCUUCAUAAUCAAUCUAAGUACAUAAUCUCUGAAGCCUCUCAGCUCGAUACCAGAUUCAAGAAAAACUGGAUCGUUUGUUGAUCACAUAUAUGCCAUGCACGUCACCAUUUUAAGCUAGAAAGGUACAUUGACGUGUUUGCUGGGAUAUUUAACUUCAUUUUCCUGCUUAGUUUGUCAACUGAUUAAUGAGUUCCUGACAUUUUGGAUUAUUGGUUUAUUUGAGAGCUGCUAUGCAUUAUCAACAUCUUGCCUUCUUUCCUUCUUA